rnacentral:rRNA from 1 species
CCUACGGGUGGCAGCAGUGAGGAAUAUUGGUCAAUGGACGAGAGUCUGAACCAGCCAAGUAGCGGGAAGGAUGACUGCCCUAUGGGGUGUAAACUUCGGGUAUAGGGGAAUAAAAUGUUCCACGUGUGGGAUUUUGUAUGUACCAUAUGAAUAAGGAUAGGCUAACUCCGUGCCAGCAGCCUCGGUAAUACGGAGGAUCCGAGCGUUAUCCGGAGUUAUUGGGGUUAAAGGGAGCGUAGGUGGAUUGUUAAGUCCGUUGUGAAAGUUGGCGGCUCAACCGUAAAAUUGCAGUUGCAACUGGCAGUCUUGAGUACAGUAGAGGUGGGCGGAAUUCGUUGUGUAGCGG